rnacentral:rRNA from 1 species
CAGCCGCCACGGUAAAACGAAGGGGGCUAGCGUUGCUCGGAAUGACUGGGCGUAAAGGGCGCGUAGGCGGCAUACACAGUCAGAUGUGAAAUUCCUGGGCUUAACCUGGGGGCUGCAUUUGAUACGUGUGGGCUAGAGUGGGGAAGAGGGUUGUGGAAUUCCCAGUGUAGAGGUGAAAUUCGUAGAUAUUGGGAAGAACACCGGUGGCGAAGGCGGCAACCUGGUCCUUGACUGACGCUGAGGCGCGAAAGCGUGGGGAGCAAACAGGAUUAGAUACCCCCGUAGUCCCUGUCUCUUAUAC